CCGAAAUCAUGUGCGGCGUUUAAAUCGGUGUAUUGAGGUUGGAGGAAGACAUUUUGAACAAUUGUUGUGAUAGUAUCAUAUACAAAAGGGCCGUAGUGGCGUAGUGACGCAUUUCCGGACAUGGGUUCCUAUACUCAAAUGGAUUCUUCUGUUGCACUGAACAACCGCCAGAAGUUUGAUCCCAUAGUUCUGAAACACCCUGUAUAUGUUGAUUCCACAGGAGUAUCCCUAUAGCUCGACACCCAGAAAUUUUAGUGAAGUACCUAUCUUCUCUAGAUUCAUUAGUCGCCUGUUAGCUGAAAACUAUCCUCAGUCAUCUCGCAAGUCAACUGGCAUCUCACCAAAUCCAAUGAGCUCACAUGGACUAUGAUUAUCGUGUCAUAAGCAAAUAAAGUGUAUUUAUUCCUGA